rnacentral:rRNA from 1 species
UACGUAGGUGGCAAGCGUUGUCCGGAUUUACUGGGCGUAAAGGGCGUGCAGGCGGCUUGUUAAGUGCAGGGUGAAAGCUCCCGGCUCAACUGGGAGAGGUCCUUGCAUACUGGCGAGCUCGAGGGAGGCAGAGGAAAGUGGAAUUCCCGGUGUAGUGGUGAUAUGCGUAGAUAUCGGGAGGAACACCUGUGGCGAAGGCGGCUUUCUGGGCCUUACCUGACGCUGAGACGCGAAAGCGUGGGGAGCGAAC